ensembl:misc_RNA Y_RNA Y RNA
GGUUGGUCCAAAAGUAGUGCGUUAUCACAAUUGAUUGUUCAAGGUCAGUUACAGAUCAAAGUCCUUGUUCUUCCCUUCCCCCUUCUCACUACUGCACUUGACUAGUCUUAA